rnacentral:rRNA from 1 species
CAGACGGGUGAGUAAUGCAUAGGAAUCUACCUAGUAGUAUGGGAUAGCCACUAGAAAUGGUGGGUAAUACUGUAUAAUCCCUGCGGGGGAAAGAUUUAUCGCUAUUAGAUGAGCCUAUGUUAGAUUAGCUAGUUGGUGGGGUAAAGGCCUACCAAGGCGAUGAUCUAUAGCUGGUCUGAGAGGAUGAUCAGCCACACUGGAACUGAGAUACGGUCCAGACUCCUACGGGAGGCAGCAGUGGGGAAUAUUGGACAAUGGGCGCAAGCCUGAUCCAGCUAUGCCGCGUGAGUGAGGAAGGCCUUAGGGUUGUAAAACUCUUUCAGUAGGGAAGAUAAUGACGGUACCUA